GCCGGUGUCGGGUGUUCCUAGAGAAUUCAGUCUUUGUUGUCAGGCAGCUGGACCCGAGGCUCCUCUCACAGCUGAGCCUAGCCGGCCAGCCUGAGACCUGAGCUCUCAUUUUCUUGCGGGCGCACCAUUGCAAGUCCAGUGGAGCCUGAGCCCUGCGGUGACGUGUGGGUCCUCCCGAGGCUGAUGGGGGAGGUGUGCGGCUUUGUGGGGUCCAUCUUCGGGAGUGGAUGGUACCCUCGGUUCUCUCGCACUGUAUCAUCUGGACUCCUGGUCGUGGGGGAGCCCCGCUUCUCUGCUGACGGGAGACCAGGCCUCGACCCACGACCUCCAUUACCUGAGCCACCUGCUGUGGAGUGCAGGUGCACCUCAUGUGACCACCGCUCCCUGGGGCCUCCAGACCUGGCUGCUCUGGAUGGUGAGAUGGUGAACAACUUCCUCUCUGCCAACUGGAGACCAACACCUACCAGCAAAAAUACAUCUGCCCUUUGGCCCUGA
rnacentral:lncRNA from 1 species